GACGAACGCUGGCGGCGUGCUUAACACAUGCAAGUCGAACGGAAAGGCCCUGCUUUUGUGGGGUGCUCGAGUGGCGAACGGGUGAGUAACACGUGAGUAACCUGCCCCUGACUUUGGGAUAACUUCAGGAAACUGGGGCUAAUACCGGAUAGGAGCUCCUGCUGCAUGGUGGGGGUUGGAAAGUUUCGGCGGUUGGGGAUGGACUCGCGGCUUAUCAGCUUGUUGGUGGGGUAGUGGCUUACCAAGGCUUUGACGGGUAGCCGGCCUGAGAGGGUGACCGGCCACAUUGGGACUGAGAUACGGCCCAGACUCCUACGGGAGGCAGCAGUGGGGAAUAUUGCACAAUGGGCGGAAGCCUGAUGCAGCAACGCCGCGUGCGGGAUGACGGCCUUCGGGUUGUAAACCGCUUUCGCCUGUGACGAGGCGUGAGUGACGGUAAUGGGUAAAGAAGCACCGGCUAACUACGUG
rnacentral:rRNA from 1 species